GUCCGUGCUUGUAAUCCCAGCUACUAGGGAGGCUGAGGCAGGAGAAUCACUUAAACCCGGGAGGCAGAGGUUGCAGUGAGCCCAGAUCGCGCCACUGCACUUCAGCCUGGCCGACAGAGUGAGACUCCAUCUCAAAAAAAAAAAAAAAAAGCUGUUUUGUUUCCUUUACAGCCCACUCACCUCCUUUGUGGCUUUUUACUUGAAAAGCCACAAAUAUUUAUAGAAGGAACUAGAAGAAACUGUAAACGGAAAAAUCAAAGGGAUCUUCAUCAUGCAGCUGGAGAGGGAAUCGCCGUUGGCCUUUUGGUGACCACGAAGGCACUGCGUUCUCUCUCUCCAGGAAGAACAAUAGAAAACAAAGGGGGCAGGGGAACCAGUAAGUGGGCCAGUGCCCACUCAUGCGGGCAGAUCUGCAGGUGCGUGUGGACAGGAGGAGGGGCUGGGGUAGGAGCAGACUGAGGAACUCUGCCUCAAUCCCCACCUUCCCACAGGGAAACGAUGUCAUUCAUUCACUUAUUCAUUGGAAGAAAUUAUCUCUGCCAGACCCUGGACUAGAUGCUGGGGUCACUGUGGAGAACAGAAGACAAGGUACUGCUCACAGAGCACCCAGUCCUGGGGGUGAGAGGGCAGCAAAUAAAGAAAUUCACAAAGGAAUAUACAGAUUUACAAACCCUGAUCAGGUCAGAUGGUAACCACUGUAGAGUGGCAGGCUAAGGCUGAGAGAGAGACAGACAGAGUGGGUCAGGUCUUUCUGAACUCAGAUCUGCCUGGGAUACUACACUCUCUCCUGCCCCGUCAUACACUUGGGAUUAAUAAAACCCACAAGUUCACUGUGGCCUGGUCCCUGCCUGCCUCUGGACUCAUCCCCCACUUACAGGGCACAGUCCCUGCCAGCUGGCAAGGACUUCAGCAACUGGCCUUGGCCUCUCCCACCUGCAAGCUUUUGCUCGCGAUGUUUGCCUCUGCUGAAACACCCUUGCCUUGUGUUUGUCCUCUUUCCUUUUUUGGGGUGGGUUUUUCUUGUUAACAUUUAUUAAGUAGGCACUCGGCUGGGAGCAGUGGCUCACACCUGUAAUCCCAGCACUUUGGGAAGCCACGGUGGGUCAGUCGCUUGAGGCCAGGAGUUUCAGACCAGCCUGGCCACAACAGUGAAACCGCAUCUCUACUAAAAUUACAAAAAUUAGUUGGGCCUGGUGACACACUCCGGUAGUCCCACUACUUGGGAGGCUGAAGCAGGAGAAUCCCUUGAACCAGGGAGGCGGAGGUUGCAGUGAGCCAAGAUGGCGCCACUGCGCUACAGCCUGGGCAACAGAGUGACAGAGUAAGACGCUGUCUCAAAACAAAUAAACAUUUAUUAAGCACUUAUCCCUGUGUUUGGCACCUGGAAUCUCAUGAAAAUUGUGUGAAUUACAGAUGAUCCCUAUUUUACAGGUGGAAAAAUGGAAGCUCAGAGAGGUUAAUCAACUCACCCAGGAAUACAGCAGGCACAUGGACGUGGCAAAGCCGAUUCAAACCCAGAUUACUGACUUUAAUGUUGGUCCUUGCACCUUACCACCACCUGUCUGGUCACCCUGGCCCUCACCAAUUCCCUCACCAGGGACAUGAGAUGCGUUCUGG
rnacentral:lncRNA from 1 species